AGUGAACGCUGGCGGUAGGCCUAACACAUGCAAGUCGAACGGCAGCACAGUAAGAGCUUGCUCUUACGGGUGGCGAGUGGCGGACGGGUGAGGAAUACAUCGGAAUCUACUUUUUCGGGGGGGAUAACGUAGGGAAACUUACGCUAAUACCGCAUACGACCUACGGGUGAAAGCAGGGGAUCUUCGGACCUUGCGCGAUUGAAUGAGCCGAUGUCGGAUUAGCUAGUUGGCGGGGUAAAGGCCCACCAAGGCGACGAUCCGUAGCUGGUCUGAGAGGAUGAUCGGCGACACUGGAACUGAGACACGGUCCAGACUCCUACGGGAGGGAGCAGUGGGGAAUAUUGGACAAUGGGCGCAAGCCUGAUCCAGCCAUACCGCGUGGGUGAAGAAGGCCUUCGGGUUGUAAAGACCUUUUGUUGGGAAAGAAAAGCAGCAGGUUAAUACCACGCUGUUCUGACGGUACCCAAAGAAUAAGCACCGGCUAACUUCGUG
rnacentral:rRNA from 1 species